ACUGGGUGGAACUCCAUUUAGGAGAU
rnacentral:piRNA from 1 species